rnacentral:piRNA from 1 species
UAACAAGCACUGUUAUCUGAGGAGG